rnacentral:rRNA from 1 species
CCCCUAGAUGUUCUGGGCCGCACGCGCGCUACACUGAACAGUUCAACAAGUCUUAACCUUGGCCGAUAGGUCUGGGUAAUCUUUGAACGCUGUUCGUGAUUGGGAUAGACCUUUGCAAUUAUGGGUCUUCGACGAGGAAUUCCUAGUAAACGCAAGUCAUCAGCUUGCAUUGAUUACGUCCCUGCCCUUUGUACACACCGCCCGUCGCACCUACCGAUUGAAUGGUCCGGUGAAAUCUCGGGACGGCGGCUUGGUCGCUUGCGUCCGACUGCUGAAACUUGAUUAAACCAUCUCAUUUAGAGGAAGGUGAAGUCGUAACA